rnacentral:rRNA from 1 species
AUUGAACGCUGGCGGCAGGCCUAACACAUGCAAGUCGAGCGGCAGCGGGAAAGUAGCUUGCUACUUUUGCCGGCGAGCGGCGGACGGGUGAGUAAUGCCUGGGAAAUUGCCCAGUCGAGGGGGAUAACAGUUGGAAACGACUGCUAAUACCGCAUACGCCCAACGGGGGAAGGCAGGGGGCCUUCGGGCCUUGCGCGAUUGGAUAUGGCCAGGUGGGAUUAGCUAGUUGUUGAGGUAAUGGCUCACCAAGGCGACGAUCCCUAGCUGGUCUGAGAGGAUGAUCAGCCACACUGGAACUGAGACACGGUCCAGACUCCUACGGGAGGCAGCAGUGGGGAAUAUUGCACAAUGGGAAACCCUGAUGCAGCCAUGCCGCGUGUGUGAAGAAGGCCUUCGGGUUGUAAAGCACUUUCAGCGAGGAGGAAAGGUUGAUGCCUAAUACGUAUCAACUGUGACGUUACUCGCAGAAGAAGCACCGGCUAACUCCGUGCCAGCAGCCGCCGUAAGAC